CUCAUGACAUUGUACAGAACACUGGUGAGACCUCACUUGGAGUAUUGUACGCAGUACUGGAGACCGUAUCUUCAGAAGGAUAUUGAUACUUUAUAGAGAGUUCAGAGAAGGGCUACUAAACUGGUUCAUGGAUUGCAGGAUAAAACUUACCAGGAAAGGUUAAAGGAUCUUAACAUGUAUAGCUUGGAGGAAAGAAGAGACAGG